rnacentral:tRNA from 1 species
AGCCUUGUGGUGUAAAGCAUAUUAGAUUGCAAGUCUAAAAGUGCAGGAUAAUACCCUGCCGGGGCUU